UUAUUACUUCCUCAAAUAAGA
rnacentral:piRNA from 1 species